rnacentral:rRNA from 1 species
GUGGGGAAUCUUAGACAAUGGGGGAAACCCUGAUCUAGCCAUGCCGCGUGAGCGAUGAAGGCCUUAGGGUUGUAAAGCUCUUUCAGCUGGGAAGAUAAUGACUGUACCAGCAGAAGAAGCCCCGGCUAACUCCGUGCCAGCAGCCGCGGUAAUACGGAGGGGGCUAGCGUUGUUCGGAAUUACUGGGCGUAAAGCGCACGUAGGCGGACCGGAAAGUCAGAGGUGAAAUCCCAGGGCUCAACCUUGGAACUGCCUUUGAAACUCCUGGUCUUGAGGUCGAGAGAGGUGAGUGGAAUUCCGAGUGUAGAGGUGAAAUUCGUAGAUAUUCGGAGGAACACCAGUGGCGAAGGCGGCUCACUGACUCGAUACUGACGCUGAGGUGCGAAAGCGUGGGGAGCAAACAGGAUUAGAAACCCUGGUAGUCC